rnacentral:rRNA from 1 species
GCAUAUCAAUAAGCGGAGGAAAAGAAACUAACAAGGAUUCCCCUAGUAACGGCGAGUGAAGCGGGAAGAGCUCAAAUUUGAAAGCUGUUGCCUUUGGUAACCGCAUUGUAAUCUCGAGAUCUGUUUUCCGCGCUGGACCAUGUACAAGUCCCUUGGAAUAGGGCGUCAUAGAGGGUGAGAAUCCCGUACUUGACAUGGCCUCCCAGUGCUUUGUGAUACAGGCUCAACGAGUCGAGUUGUUUGGGAAUGCAGCUCAAAAUGGGUGGUAAAUUCCAUCUAAAGCUAAAUAUUGGGGAGAGACCGAUAGCGAACAAGUACCCGUGAGGGAAAGAUGAAAAGCACUUUGGAAAGAGAGUUUAACAGUACGUGAAAUUGUCAAAAGGGAACCGUUUGAAGUUAGUCAUGCUUGCCUGGACUCAGCCUUGCUUUUGCUUGGUGCAUUUCCAGGUUAGCAGGUCAGCAUCGGUUUUGACUGCUGGAUAAGGGUGAGAGGAAUGUGGCACCCUCGGGUGUGUUAUAGCCUUUCACUGGAUGCAGCAGUCGGGACCGAGGAACGCAGCGCGCCUUUAUGGCGGACCUUGGGGUACCUUCCCGCUUAGGAUGCUGGCAUAAUAGCUUCAAGCGACCCGUCUUGAAACACGGACCAAGGAGUCUAACAUGUCUGCGAGUCUUUGGGUGGCAAACC